rnacentral:rRNA from 1 species
UACGUAGGGGGCUAGCGUUGUCCGGAAUCAUCGGGCGUAAAGCGCGUGUAGGCGGUCCGGUAAGUCCGCUGUGAAAGUCGGGGGCUCAACCCUCGGAUGCCGGUGGAUACUGUCGGGCUUGAGUACGGAAGAGGCGAGUGGAAUUCCUGGUGUAGCGGUGAAAUGCGCAGAUAUCAGGAGGAACACCAAUUGCGAAGGCAGCUCGCUGGGACGUUACUGACGCUGAGACGCGAAAGCGUGGGGAGCAAACAGG